UUAAAUGGCUGCAGUAUAACUAACUGUGCAAAGGUAGCAUAAUCAAUUGAUUUUUAAAUGAAAUCUGGAAUGAAAGGAUUAAUGAAAUAUAUACUGUCUCAUAUUUAUUUUAUUAAUUUAAAAUUUUAAUAAAAAUGUUAAAAUUUUUUUAUGGGACGAUAAGACCCUAUAGAAUUUUAUAUUAAAUUAAUUUUAUAAUUAAAUAUAAAAUUUAAUUUAAUAUUUAAUUGGGAGAAUUAUUAAAUUUAAUAAAUUUUAAUUAAUAUAAACUUUAAUUAAAGAAAAUUUAUUGAUUUUUAAUUUAAAAUUAAUAGAAUAAAUUACCUUAGGGAUAACAGCGUAAUAUUUUUUUAUAGAUCGUAUAGAAAAAAAUGAUUGCGACCUCGAUGUUGAAUUAAGAUAAAUUUUAAAUAUAGAA
rnacentral:rRNA from 1 species